UGAUUAGAUAGGAUUAGGUGUAUGGUUUACGGUGGUGAGGUUGAGAGAAGAACCUUCAUUCAUUGCUUUGAACAAGUGUGUCACGACUAGUAGAGGGAUUUUAGAAGCAAUUGCAAUUUUAAUUUCUUUUGGGAGGUGCAAAUGGUUACAUUAAAUGGUAGAAGCAACUUUAUGUUUUCAUAUUUUUCUUUUGCCUCAGAAUAUUUUACAUUACAUGUUUAAUUGUUUUUCAUCUUUUAAAUUGAGUGUUGCAUUUUAAUAGCUUUAAUUGCGUUUCGAUAUUUGUCUUUUGCAUUGUUUAGUUUACUCUUUCAGUUCACUAUGUUGUCUUUUAUGUUCGGUUUAUUGUUCCUGUUCACUAUGAUUUUUACUCUGUUCGGUUUCUUUAUCUUCCUGCAUUUCCAAUUUUCCCAUAUGCUUUAGAGAUCGUUCGAUUUCAAUGUAGAAUCGUUCGGUCAUCUGUAGGACCGUUUGGUCUUCUUGCCUGUUCAUUUAUUUAAAUGUUUUCAAUUAUGUUUGGUCGUAUUUAAUUCGCUUAAUACCUCCAUUGGUCCUCAUAUUUGUGUGCAAAUCUCAGUUUGGCCCUCAAGUUUUGAACUGUCUCAAUUAAGUCAUAAUUUUUGUAAAAAUGCACACAUUUUACCCUAACCGUUAAGUUGUCUCAAACGGCGUUAAUUGAUGUUGAGAUGAUUUUUAUUUUUUUUUAGGCUUAAUCCCUCUCUUGGUCCUUAUGUUUGUGUGAAAAUCUCAGUUCGGUCCUCAAGUUUUGAACUGUCUCAAUUGGGUCAUAAUUUUUGAACUGUCGACAACGACGACAUUUUUUAGUUUGAGAGGGAGAAAAGGUGUGAGUCGGGGGGUUUGAAGGUUUGAGGGUGGAGGAAUGAGUGAAAUAUGAUCAGUGAUUGGAAGGAAAAAGAAAGAGCAUAGCCACGUGGAUUUAAUGAUUUUAAAACAUAAAAAAAAAAUUACAGCUCAAUUCAAAGUUAACGCCGUCUCAAUACACUUAACGGUUGGGGUAAAAUGUUUGCAUUUCAUAAGGACUUGAGGAAAAAGUGUGAUAAGUGAUUGGAAGGAAAAAGAAAGACCAUAGCCACGUGGAUUUAAUAAUUUUAAAACAAAAAAAAAUUACAACUCAAUUCAAAGUUAAUGUCGUCUCAAUACACUUAAUGGUUGGGGUAAAAUGUUGUAAAAUGUUUGCAUUUCAUAAGGACUUGAGGAAAAACUUAAGGACUGAACUAAGAUUUUCACACAAACAUAAGGACCAAGGGAGGAAUUAAGCCUAAAAUAAAAAAUUCAUCUCAGCAUCAAUUAACACCGUUUGAGACAACUUAACGGUUAGGGUAAAAUGUGUGCAUUUUUACAAAAAUUAUGACCCAAUUGAGACAAUUCAAAACUUGAGGACCAAACUGAGAUUGACAUACAAAUAUGAGGACCAAUGGAGGUAUUAAGCCUAUUUAAUUUAAUUUUCCUUGCAAGAACAGUUUCAAACCCCCCCACUACGUGUUAGACCUAAGACUCGAACCGCAUUUAGUCCUUGAGAGACGACCUAGGAGUCACUUCCUAGUCUAUACUGCAUUCUUUAUGCACAUUAAAUUUGUAUGGGGUGCGACACCCAUCAAAUUUUGGCGCCGUUGCCGGGGACCAACGGUUCAGUCUUAGGUCUUUUGUUGUGUUAGUGUGUGUUGUGUUUUGUCUUGUCUUGUGAGUGUGAUGUUCUGUUUUAUGUGUGGUGUCAUGUGUGUUGCAUUUAGAUAGUUGUAGUUGCAUAUUUUAACUGCAUUCUUCUUUUCCCCCUACUUUCUUUUUCCAUGUCUACCUAUUUUGAUUCAGUGAAUGAUGCUUAUUCUGCCAGCACCUGUGAUUAUGAUUUUCCUCCUGCAUAUUGCUCUGAUUAUGGUUCUCCUGCU
rnacentral:lncRNA from 1 species